rfam:Dipodomys ordii contig_48023, whole genome shotgun sequence.
GAGAGUGUGGCUCAAUAGUAGAGUGCUUGCUUUGCAAGCACGAGGCCCUGGGUUUGAUUCCUCAGCACCA